rnacentral:tRNA from 1 species
GUCGCUGUGGCUGAGUUGUAAUGCGCUUGGCUUCUGAACCGGGGGUCCCGGGUUCGAAUCCUGGUGAAGACU